rnacentral:rRNA from 1 species
UACGAAGGGGGCUAGCGUUGUUCGGAAUUACUGGGCGUAAAGCGCGCGUAGGCGGCACUGUCAGUCAGAGGUGAAAUCCCAGGGCUCAACCCUGGAACUGCCUUUGAUACUGCAGAGCUAGAGCUCGGAAGAGGGUGGCGGAAUACCCAGUGUAGAGGUGAAAUUCGUAGAUAUUGGGUAGAACACCAGUGGCGAAGGCGGCCACCUGGUCCGUAGCUGACGCUGAGGUGCGAAAGCGUGGGGAGCAAACAGG